rnacentral:rRNA from 1 species
AUACGGAGGGUGCAAGCGUUACUCGGAAUCACUGGGCGUAAAGCGCGCGCAGGCGGGCUGAUAAGUUGGAUGUGAAAGCCUACGGCUCAACCGUAGAACUGCAUCCAAAACUGUCAGUCUAGAGUGUGGGAGAGGAAGAUGGAAUUAGUUGUGUAGGGGUAAAAUCCGUAGAGAUAACUAGGAAUACCAAAAGCGAAGGCAAUCUUCUGGAACACUACUGACGCUGAGGCGCGAAGGCGUGGGGAGCAAACAGGAUUAGAAACCCCUGUAGUCC